GUCAUUAUAGUUUAACAAAAACAUUAGAAUGUGGACCUAAAAAUAAAAGUUUAAUCCUUCUUAAUGACC
rnacentral:tRNA from 1 species